rnacentral:snRNA from 1 species
UAGCAUGGCCCCUGUGCAAGGAUGACACACAAAUUCGUGAAGCGUUCCACAUUUUU